rnacentral:miRNA from 8 species
CACAGGCGCUGCUGGGGUUCUG